rnacentral:rRNA from 1 species
AACGAACGCUGGCGGCAUGCCUAACACAUGCAAGUCGAACGAUUGCCUUCGGGUGAUAGUGGCGCACGGGUGCGUAACGCGUGGGAAUCUGCCCUUAGGUUCGGAAUAACAGCUGGAAACGGCUGCUAAUACCGGAUGAUAUCGCGAGAUCAAAGAUUUAUCGCCUGAGGAUGAGCCCGCGUUGGAUUAGGUAGUUGGUGGGGUAAAGGCCUUCCAAGCCGACGAUCCAUAGCUGGUCUGAGAGGAUGAUCAGCCACACUGGGACUGAGACACGGCCCAGACUCCUACGGGAGGCAGCAGUGGGGAAUAUUGGACAAUGGGCGCAAGCCUGAUCCAGCAAUGCCGCGUGAGUGAUGAAGGCCCUAGGGUUGUAAAGCUCUUUUACCCGGGAAGAUAAUGACUGUACCGGGAGAAUAAGCCCCGGCUAACUUCGUG